CAGCCAAACCCAAUUCCACCCCAUUGCAACCUCCCAACGCACCAAAAAAUUAAAACAAAAAAACAAGAACAAGAACAAAUAUAUCUUAAAGAAUAAAUAACAAAAAAAUGAAAAAAGUAAAAACAAGAACAAGAACAAUCAAACCAAACCCAGAAAACGCCACCCCCAUAUCGUCUUCCCCAACCCCGAUCCGAACCUCCCCCCAUACCCACCACCUAGAUCCACCAGUGCAGGGCAGUGGGUGGAUGUCCCAAACAAAGUACAUCAAGGCCAAGUGGUUGUCUCCUCACACCCGAGCCACGUCUUCAUCGUCCGAUUCGAUGACCGAAGAAAAGACUCAGCCUUUGAUCGAGACCGCCGAGUUUGAGUUGAUUCAGGGCGGGACGAACUCUGCGGGUGAGACUGAGUUGGACGAGUCGGUAUUUGAGCUGUUGGAGAGUUCGGGUGACUGGGUCGGAUUCACUGAUAGCAAUAGAAACUCUCAAAGAAAAUAGCUUUAAAAUAGUUUGUCAAUUAUCUGCUGUUUCUGUGAAAUCAAGGAAAAGAGCAAAAGGAGGAGGAGAAGAUGGGGAACAUAAUUCGAUGAUGAAGACUGAAGAGAACUCAGAACACACUCGUGCUGUCUGGGGAAAACCCAAUUUUUUUAAAUGCUGAGAUUCUCUCCCAGCGUCAUGUUUCUGUGAUGCCAAAGGAAAAAGGGAAGUGGAAUUUUGAUUAAUCUUUUGGACAUGAAUUGGUUAUCCUUCGUUUGAUUUGAUCUCAUUUGAUUAAUCUUUUAGAAGGGCCAAGUCAUGUCUAUCUCUGUUGUUUGCUGUAAGUUGUAUAAAAUUAGGCAUCUAAUUCUACUUGGAGCAUUCCCUUAAUUGCUUUUUUCUUCAUCUUUAGGCUUUCAGUUUU